GCAAGUCGAGCGCCCGCAAGGGAGCGGCGGACGGGUGAGUAACGCGUGGGAACGUACCCUUUGCUACGGAAUAGCCUCUGGAAACGGAGAGUAAUACCGUAUGUGCCCUACGGGGGAAAGAUUUAUCGGCAAAGGAUCGGCCCGCGUUGGAUUAGGUAGUUGGUGGGGUAAUGGCCUACCAAGCCGACGAUCCAUAGCUGGUUUGAGAGGAUGAUCAGCCACACUGGGACUGAGACACGGCCCAGACUCC
rnacentral:rRNA from 1 species